CAGUAGCCGCGGGAAUACAGAGGAUGCAAGCGUUAUCCGGAAUUACUGGGCGUAAAGCGUGCGCAGGCGGUCCGCUAAGACAGAUGUGAAAUCCCCGGGCUUAACCUGGGAACUGCAUUUGUGACUGGCGGGCUAGAGUAUGGCAGAGGGGGGUAGAAUUCCACGUGUAGCAGUGAAAUGCGUAGAGAUGUGGAGGAAUACCGAUGGCGAAGGCAGCCCCCUGGGCCAAUACUGACGCUCAUGCACGAAAGCGUGGGGAGCAAACAGGAUUAGAUACCCCUGUAGUCCCUGUCUCUUAUAC
rnacentral:rRNA from 1 species